UCCUUGGUGGGCAUGGAUGAAGAGGUUCCAUCUUCCUGAAGCAGAACGUCUCAAUGGUCGUGCUGCAAUGAUUGGUUUCUUUAUGGCCUACUUUGUGGAUAGCUUGACCGAUAUAGGCCUCGUCGACCAAAUGGGGAAUUUCUUUUGCAAAACACUAUUGUUUGUAGCCGUGGCUGGUGUCCUCCUAAUCCGCAAGAAUGAGGAUUUAGAAACUAUCAAAAAGUUGUUGGAAGAGACUACUUUCUAUGACAAGCAAUGGCAAGCAUCUUGGAAAGAUGAGACCUCAAGCAGUUCGAAGGAUUCUUGAGAUUGUUCCUCGUAUAACAUUAGUUUUUCAUACUUACAGGAAGAUGUAAUCCAG
rnacentral:misc_RNA from 1 species